UUUUACGUAAAUUUCUCUAUUUUGUAACCCCUGCCUCUCUCACGCCAAAACCCCAAAUCCCCUCCCUUCCUCGCCAUAGCCUCUCCUUCUCAUUCUUUCUCUUAACCAGAGACAAAACCAUCCUUUCUUCGACUUCCGCCGUUAGUCUCUGCAACAUCGUCCUGGUGGGAUUGUUUCUCUCACACACGAAUGGAAGGGAAGGGGGGCCUCACCCUCGUCGAGUAGCAUUAGCAGUUUGUCGCUCGCCAAAUACAUCAAGUACGUCACCUUUGUAGUUCAUGGUUUGCCGUUGUCCGUGACCAUGCUCCAAUCAAAGUUGAACGUGUUACAACUGAACGUUGCUAAAGGAGUAGCUCCUGUUGUUCAGUAACGUUUUUUGUGCGCCUCUAAAAGCUGAAUUUCUUGUAGUGUCGCGUUGUUCCUGGUUCUUCUUCUAAUCUUGGUGCCCUUUCCAACACUCUAAUUGGCUCCCCUUCCAACAUCCAGGUUGGGUUUCUUCAGCAUUUCUUUGAAUCUUGUCUGGUGAGGGAGCUUCCAGCUUGGGAUUGAACUUGGUUGAAUAUGAAGGGAUAGAAGAACCUCAAGGUAUGUUCUCUUGCAUCAAGUGUUCUUUGCGCAGAAUGUGGUACUUUUGGUAUUUUUGUUUACUUUUGGAAGUCCAUUUUGAUAUAAAUUACAUUUUGGAGUAACAUGACGCAUGUGUGCAUGCAUACUAAUUUUCUUUGGAGCUGCUGGAAGGGGCAAAAUGAUAAGAUAUCGUUUUAUAGGAGAAUCUAUUAAAUUUAAAAUUCCGAUACUAUAUGUUAUGGACUAAUUAAAAUACUCACAUUCUACUAUAGAAAUUUUUAAAGAACUUUUUUGUUGUGAUGGAACCAGUUUAAUGGUGGCGAAUAAGGUAUGUGUCACACUUUUCGUGUUAAUUCUACUUUAGAAAUGAUUGAAAAUGUGUAUUUUGCAUUCUUUUGGGACAGGCAUUUCCAAAUCUUCUUGAAUAAGUCUUUGGCGACUGAGACACUAUUAGCGGUGAGAUGAUUGUCCAAAUUUUUGUGAAGUAUCCAUUGGUGUCAAACUCCCAGUCCCAUGUGUUAUUUUAGAAGGUUUUUGUUUUGCUGAAAGUCUUUUUGAAGGUUUCAGUAUGCGUCUAGUUUAGAAAGCUUAUUUGGCUAUAGGAUUUUAGUUUUACGAGCUUAUUUGAUCAGAAGAUUGUGAUUUUGGAAGCACUGUGUAACAAAAUUUCAACCGAAAGAUUUGCAAACAUUCAUUUCUUUUUCCCUUUUAAGAAUAUACGGCAAGGGAGGUUGCUUUUUGCUGAA